GCAGCUCGCGAUCGGCGCCUGAAAGUUCGUGCCGUUAUCGCUAUACAAGCACGCCGGUGUCGCGCGUCGCGAGACAAAGCGCUGGAACGCGGCGAGGAAUGCGGCGGUCGAGUAGUCCGAAACCAACUCGAUAUGUAUCGCCCGGACGGUCAUGCAAACGAAUACGGCGAUGUACGCAUUAUGCGCCCUGCAGCCCCUACCAGAGCCGUAAC
rnacentral:rRNA from 1 species